AGUGAACGCUGGCGGUAGGCCUAACACAUGCAAGUCGAACGGCAGCACAGUAAGAGCUUGCUCUUACGGGUGGCGAGUGGCGGACGAGUGAGGAAUACAUCGGAAUCUACUUUUUCGUGGGGGAUAACGUAGGGAAACUUACGCUAAUACCGCAUACGACCUACGGGUGAAAGCAGGGGAUCUUCGGACCUUGCGCGAUUGAAUGAGCCGAUGUCGGAUUAGCUAGUAGGCGGGGUAAAGGCCCACCAAGGCGACGAUCCGUAGCUGGUCUGAGAGGAUGAUCAGCCACACUGGAACUGAGACACGGUCCAGACUCCUACGGGAGGCAGCAGUGGGGAAUAUUGGACAAUGGGCGCAAGCCUGAUCCAGCCAUACCGCGUGGGUGAAGAAGGCCUUCGGGUUGUAAAGCCCUUUUGUUGGGAAAGAAAAGCAGCAGGUUAAUACCCCGCUGUUCUGACGGUACCCAAAGAAUAAGCACCGGCUAACUUCGUG
rnacentral:rRNA from 1 species